rnacentral:rRNA from 1 species
GGCUAACGCUGGCGGCGUGUCUUAGCCAUGCAAGUCGAGCGGACUUAUGGGGUAACUUAUAAGUCAGCGGCGGACGGCGGAGUAACACGUAGCUAACCUACCCUCUGGACGGGGGAUAACCUACCGAAAGGUGGGCUAAUACCCGAUGUAGUCAUCCUGUAUAGGGGUGAUGAAAGGUGGGCUUCUGUUUACAAGCUCAUGCUGGAGGAGGGGGCUGCGGCCUAUCAGGUAGUUGGUAGGGUAAUAGCCUACCAAGCCGAUGACGGGUAGCCGGCCUGAGAGGGUGACCGGCCCGAGGGGCACUGAGAUACGGGUCCCACUCCUACGGGAGGCAGCAGGCUAGAAAUUUGGGCAAUGGGGGAAACCCUGACCCAGUGACGCCGCGUGCAGGAAGGAGCCCUUCGGGGUGUAAAGCUCUUUCAGCCGGGAAGAAAGCGCACUCUCUAACAUAGGGUGUGGAUGACGGUACCGGAAGAAGAAGCACCGGCUAACUACGUG